rnacentral:rRNA from 1 species
AACGAACGCUUGCGGCAUGCCUAACACAUGCAAGUCGAACGAGAUCUUCGGGUCUAGUGGCGCACGGGUGCGUAACGCGUGGGAAUCUGCCCUUUGGUUCGGAAUAACGGUUGGAAACGACUGCUAAUACCGGAUGAUGACGAAAGUCCAAAGAUUUAUCGCCAGAGGAUGAGCCCGCGUAGGAUUAGCUAGUUGGUGUGGUAAAGGCGCACCAAGGCGACAAUCCUUAGCUGGUCUGAGAGGAUGAUCAGCCACACUGGGACUGAGACACGGCCCGGCCUCGUACGGGAGGCAACGCGGGGGAAGAUAGGACAACGGGAGAAAGCCUGAUCCAGCAAUGCCGCGUGGGUGAUGAAGGCCUUAGGGUUGUAAAGCUCUUUUACCCGGGAUGAUAAUGACAGUACCGGGAGAAUAAGCUCCGGCUAACUCCGUGCCUGCAGCCGCCGCCG